rnacentral:rRNA from 1 species
GACGAGGAUGCAAGCGUUAUCCGGAAUGAUUGGGCGUAAAGCGUCUGUAGGUGGCUUUUUAAGUCCGCCGUCAAAUCCCAGGGCUCAACCCUGGACAGGCGGUGGAAACUACCAAGCUGGAGUACGGUAGGGGCAGAGGGAAUUUCCGGUGGAGCGGUGAAAUGCGUAGAGAUGUGGAGGAAUACCGAUGGCGAAGGCAGCCCCUGGGCCAAUACUGACGCUCAUGCACGAAAGCGUGGGGAGCAAACAGG